CCAGACGGCUGGACGGUCGCCGCCAUCUUUUGAUGGGGGAGGAAAGUCCGGGCUCCACGAAAAAGCGGUGCCGGGUAACGCCCGGCGGGGGUGACCCCAGGGAAAGUGCCACAGAAAGCAAACCGCCUCGUUUCGGGGAUUUCGAUCUUCGCACGGGGUAAGGGUGAAAGGGUGCGGUAAGAGCGCACCGCGCGGCUGGUAACAGUCGCGGCACGGUAAACCCCACCGGGAGCAAAACCGAAUAGGGAUGGCGUGUUUGCGUGGCGCUUCGGUGCCGCGGAACAGGCGUGUUCGCGCUGCCAUCCGGGUAGGUUGCACGAGGCGUUCGGCAACGGACGCCCUAGAUGAAUGACCGUCUAUCGCCGCUAAAUAUGGGCCGUGGCGUGGACAGAACCCGGCUUACAGGCCGUCUGGCGCC
rnacentral:RNase_P_RNA from 1 species